rnacentral:rRNA from 1 species
GAUGAACGCUAGCUACAGGCUUAACACAUGCAAGUCGAGGGGUAACGAGAGGAAAGCUUGCUUUCCUUGUCGACGACCGGCGCACGGGUGAGUAACGCGUAUCCAACCUGCCCCCAACUAGGGAAUAACCUUGCGAAAGUAAGACUAAUACCCUAUAAUUUCCUCAGAUGUCAUCUGACGAGGACUCAAGAUUUAUCGGUUGUGGAUGGGGAUGCGUCUGAUUAGCUUGUUGGCGGGGUAACGGCCCACCAAGGCAACGAUCAGUAGGGGUUCUGGGAGGAAGGUCCCCCACAUUGGAACUGAGACACGGUCCAAACUCCUACGGGAGGCAGCAGUGAGGAAUAUUGGUCAAUGGGCGGAAGCCUGAACCAGCCAAGUAGCGUGCAGGAUGACGGCCCUAUGGGUUGUAAACUGCUUUUAUACAGGAAUAAAGUUAGCCACGUGUGGUUAUUUGUAGGUACUGUAUGAAUAAGGACCGGCUAAUUCCGUGCCAGCCGCCGCCGUAA